rnacentral:rRNA from 1 species
AAUACGGAGAGUGCCGCAGGCCUCUCGGGUAACCUACCACCCUUUGUUUAUUACACUUUGUUGCUUUGGCAGGCCUGCCUUCGGGCUGCUGGCUCCGGCCGGCGAGCGCUUGCCAGAGGAUCUAAACUCUGUUUGUCUAUACUGUCUGAGUACUAUAUAAUAGUUAAAACUUUCAACAACGGAUCUCUUGGUUCUGGCAUCGAUGAAGAACGCAGCGAAAUGCGAUAAGUAAUGUGAAUUGCAGAAUUCAGUGAAUCAUCGAAUCUUUGAACGCACAUUGCGCCCCCUGGUAUUCCGGGGGGCAUGCCUGUCCGAGCGUCAUUACAACCCUCAAGCUCUGCUUGGUGUUGGGCCCCGCCGCCCCGGCGGGCCCUAAAGUCAGUGGCGGUGCCAUCCGGCUCCGAGCGUAGUAAUUCUUCUCGCUCUGGAGGUCCGGUUGUGUGCUUGCCAUCAACCCCCAAUUUUUUUCAGGUUGACCUCGGAUCAGGUAGGGAUACCCGCUGAACUUAAGCAUAUCAAUAAGGCGGAGGAA